GUGCUUGCUUCGGUGGCACAGAUACUAGAAUUGGCACGAUAGAGAAGAAUAGCAUGGCUCCUGUGCAAGGAUGACACGCAAAUUCGUGAAGCGUUCCAUAUUAAA